GACGAACGCUGGCGGCGUGCUUAACACAUGCAAGUCGAGCGGUAAGGCCCUUCGGGGUACACGAGCGGCGAACGGGUGAGUAACACGUGAGCAAUCUGCCCUGCACUUUGGGAUAACCACCGGAAACGGUGGCUAAUACCGAAUACGACCUCGCACUGCAUGGUGUGUGGUGGAAAGUUCUGGCGGUGCAGGAUGAGCUCGCGGCCUAUCAGCUUGUUGGUGAGGUAAUGGCUCACCAAGGCUUCGACGGGUAGCCGGCCUGAGAGGGUGACCGGCCACACUGGGACUGAGACACGGCCCAGACUCCUACGGGAGGCAGCAGUGGGGAAUAUUGGACAAUGGGCGAAAGCCUGAUCCAGCAACGCCGCGUGAGGGAUGACGGCCUUCGGGUUGUAAACCUCUUUCAGCGCAGACGAAGCGAAAGUGACGGUAUGCGCAGAAGAAGCACCGGCCAACUACGUGCCAGCAGCCGCGGUAAUACGUAGGGUGCGAGCGUUGUCCGGAAUUAUUGGGCGUAAAGGGCUCGUAGGCGGUUUGUUGCGUCGGGAGUGAAAACUCAGGGCUUAACCCUGAGCCUGCUUCCGAUACGGGCAGACUAGAGGUAUGCAGGGGAGAACGGAAUUCCUGGUGUAGCGGUGAAAUGCGCAGAUAUCAGGAGGAACACCGGUGGCGAAGGCGGUUCUCUGGGCAUUACCUGACGCUGAGGAGCGAAAGUGUGGGGAGCGAACAGG
rnacentral:rRNA from 1 species